GGCCCUGGCGGUGGCAGUGCAGCUGCUGAUUGACAUUUCUGGAAGGUUCAGUGGCGGUGGAGGCUCGGUGCUACAGUUACAUCUCGCAACGGAUCAGGCUCGCUCCUAGAUUCAGAACCCGAUCCUGUCCUGAUCAAACAAAACCACAAUCCACAUGAGACACAGUGAGAAUACUACAGGAAUUUGAGCAUGCAGCAAAAUCUCAGCAAAAUAAGAAACAGAACCGAGGCAUCUGACACUGAUCACAGAAAACUACCACAAACUUGCAUACGUUGAAGAGGUUCUGAAUUCCAACCCAUGUUGCAGAAGAACUCUCACAGCAAAGGAAUCCUCACACAGAGCAGUGAAGAGAAUCAGCGCAGAAGUCACAUACCCUUUUUACGGCACUAGAUCCCAUAAGAGCCUUCCUGUGUAGAGUAACAGCCUGUGGACAUGUAUGACAAUGAUUCCUUAGAAGAAUGCAAUCCUUUUGAGUGUAUGCCAUCAUAGGAUGUAUAACCAUGCACCAAAUACUUGCACUUUGGUGGGUCCAAUGGUUAGUUGAGUUUUUACCUGGUGAAUCGCAACUCACAAGUGAGCACAAGCAAACUCUGGUCAUCAUUGAGAAGGAGAACGAUAAAGAUAAAGCAGAAACAUUACAAAGUAAUGGUAGAAAUGCCAUGCACACUAACCACAGCAGCAGAGAGGAUAGGUGAGUCCAGCUCUAAUAUUAGUGGAUUGCUGUCAAGGGUGAUUGCAAAUAUCUGGCAUGGAGAGAGUGGCCGCUUUGGAAGACUUCAGAUAUGGCUGUCAAAUGGGUCUACACAGGCCAUGUUCCCGGGAGUGCAGGCGAUGUCAGCUGCCCUGAAUGGGAUUGCAGAUUUCUUAAUCCAUGACCUUACAAUGUGUCACUGAUGUAAACCAAGCUCGUCCUCAACAAAGCAAUAGGAGUGAUGUUCUGCUAGCCCAGGAGAGGGGUGAUGGUCUAAAAGACCAUGGAAGUAGAAACUCCACUCAAAGUUCUCCCUCUUCUCACCCAUUGCCAACCCCAUCUUCAGCCAGCACCCGAUAUGCUGCCUCAUCUCCUGAUGGCUGAGUCUUCCUCUGUAGACGUGUAGGUGACAGAGUGACAGAGGAAAAGCUAUUGCAAUUGACCAAGGGUAUUCACAGCUGUUUUUUGUAAAGCAGUACAGCACAGUGGCAGCUAGUAUAAUCAAAAGUAUGAACGUAUGCAACAAAAGAACAGA